UGGUGGAAUCCAUGCCUGGUUCAUUUUAAUAAACGUGACAGGCAGCUGCGCUUGUCUGUGAUAACCUCUUGCCGAUUGCACAUCCCUGUGACGGCAACAACGCAUUUGGAUGUCUGCCCUAUCAACUUUCGAUGCAAUUUUCCGCGCCUAUCAUGGUGACCACGGGUAACGGGGGAUCAGAGUUCGAUUCCAGAGAGGGAGCCUGAGAAAUGGCUAACACAUGCAAGGCAGCAGGCGCGCAAAUUACCCACUCCCGACGCCGGGAGGUAGUGA